UACGUAGGGGGCAAGCGUUGUCCGGAAUCAUUGGGCGUAAAGCGCGUGUAGGCGGCCAGAAAAGUCCGCUGUGAAAACUCGAGGCUCAACUUCGAGCUGUCGGUGGAAACUUUCUGGCUAGAGUCCGGAAGAGGAGAAUGGAAUUCCUGGUGUAGCGGUGAAAUGCGCAGAUAUCAGGAGGAACACCGGUGGCGAAGGCGGGACUCUGGGCCGAUACUGACGCUGAGGAGCGAAAGCGUGGGGAGCGAACAGG
rnacentral:rRNA from 1 species